ensembl:lncRNA
AUGGUAUCUCUAAUUAGAACCUUGGAUAUGUCUGUCUGUCUGUCUCUCUCACACACACACACACACUCGGAUCUGUCUCUCUCUCUGUCACACACACACAUACACACACACUUGGAUCCUUCUGUCUCCAUCUACCUCUCACUCACACACACACACACACACUUACACUUGGAUCUCUCUCUCACACACACUCGGAUCUGUCUCUGUCACAUACACACACUUGGAUCCUUCUGUCUCCAUCUACCUUUCACACACACACACACACACACACACUUGGAUCUCUCAUACACAGUCGGAUCUCACACACACACACACACUCGGAUCUGUCUCUCUCUCUGUCAUACACACACACACACACACUUGGAUCCUUCUGUCUCCAUCUACCUUUCACUCACACACACACACACACUUGGAUCUCUCUCACACACACUCAGAUCUGUCUCUGUCACAUACACACACUUGGAUCCUUCUGUCUCCAUCUACCUUUCACACACACACACACACUUGGAUCUCUCAUACACAGUUGGAUCUCACACACACACACACACUCGGAUCUGUCUCUCUGUCACACACACACACACUUGGAUCCUUCGUCUCCAUCUACCUUUCACUCACACACACACACUUGGCUCUCUCACACACACAUGCACACUCGGAUCUGUCUCUCUGUCACACACACACACUUGGAUCUGUCUGUCUCCAUCUAUCUUUCACACACACACACACGGAUCUCUCACACACACACAGACACUUGGAUCUCACACACAUACUCUUGGAUCUCUCUGUCACACACACUUGGAUCUCUCUAACACACUCUUGGAUCUCUCUCUGUCACACACACUUGGAUCUCUCACACACACUUGGAUCUCUCUCUGUCACACACACUUGGAUCUCUCACACACACUUGGAUCUCUCUCUGUCACACACAAUUGGAUCACACACACACACACUCGGAUCUGUCUGUCACACACACACACACACACUUGGAUCUGCCUGUCUCCAUCUACCUUUCACUCACACACACACACAAACACACUUGGAUCUCUCACACACACACAGACACUUGAAUCUCUCACACACACACACUCUUGGAUCUCUCUGUCACAUACACUUGGAUCUCUCACACACACACUCGGAUCUGUCUCACACAUACACACACACACACACUUGGAUCUGUCUCCAUCUACCUUUCACUCACACACACAGACACACACACACGGAUCUCUCUCACACACACACAGACACUUGGCUCUCACACACACACUUGGAUCUCUGUCACACACACUUGGAUCUCUCUCACACACUUUCUUGGAUCUCUCUCUGUCACGCACUUGGAUCUCUCACACACACACUCUUGGAUCUCUCUGUCACACACACUUGGAUCUCUCUCACACACACUCUUGGAUCUGUCACACACACUUGGAUCUCACACACACACACUCGGAUCUCACACACACACAUACUUGGAUCUGUCUCACACACACACUCAGAUCUGUCUCUUUCUCUGUCACACACACACACACACUUGGAUCUGUCUGUCUCCAUCUACCUUUCACUCACACACACACUCUUGGAUCUCUCUCACACACACACACACACUCAGAUCUGUCUCCGUCUGUCACACACACACUUGGAUCUGUGUCUCCAUCUACCUUUUACACACACACACACACACACACACACACACGGUAUGAAUGUUGA